rnacentral:rRNA from 1 species
AUUGAACGCUGGCGGCAGGCCUAACACAUGCAAGUCGAACGAGUGGCGGACGGGUGAGUAAUGUCUGGGAAACUGCCUGAUGGAGGGGGAUAACCACUGGAAACGGUAGCUAAUACCGCAUACCAUCGGAUGUGCCCAGAUGGGAUUAGCUAGUAGGUGGGGUAAAGGCUCACCUGGGCGACGAUCCCUAGCUGGUCUGAGAGGAGGACGGGCAGAACGGGAAUUGAGACACGGCCAAGACUCCGACGGGAGGAAGCAGUGGGGAAUAUUGCACAAUGGGCGCAAGCCUGAGGCAGCCAUGCCGCGUGUAUGAAGAAGGCCUUCGGUUUGUAAAGUACUUUCAGCGGGGAGGCGUUACCCGCAGAAGAAGCACCGGCUAACUACGUGCCAGCAGCCGCGGUAAUAC